GACGAACGCUGGCGGCGUGCUUAACACAUGCAAGUCGAACGGUGAACGAGGGAGCUUGCUCCCUCCGGAUCAGUGGCGAACGGGUGAGUAACACGUGAGCAAUCUGCCCCGAACUCUGGGAUAAGCGUUGGAAACGACGUCUAAUACCGAAUACGACGCGGGAGGGCAUCCUCUCCGCGUGGAAAGAACUUCGGUUCGGGAUGAGCUCGCGGCCUAUCAGCUUGUUGGUGAGGUAACGGCUCACCAAGGCGACGACGGGUAGCCGGCCUGAGAGGGUGACCGGCCACACUGGGACUGAGACACGGCCCAGACUCCUACGGGAGGCAGCAGUGGGGAAUAUUGUACAAUGGGCGCAAGCCUGAUGCAGCAACGCCGCGUGAGGGACGACGGCCUUCGGGUUGUAAACCUCUUUUAGCAGGGAAGAAGCGAAAGUGACGGUACCUGCAGAAAAAGCACCGGCUAACUACGUG
rnacentral:rRNA from 1 species